GGCUCCAUAGUGUAGUGGUUAGCACAUCUGCUUUACAUGCAGAAGGACCUGGGUUUGCACCCCAGGUGGAGCGA
rfam:Pteropus alecto contig76346, whole genome shotgun sequence.